AAUAUCAAGAGUCCAUUUUCUUGUCAAUGUUUUCAAGAGUCUGGACUCUAGAUCCAAUGUGUUUUUUUUUCCGCAGUGAAAAAGACUUUCAGAAGAUAUUAUCAUACCUUUUUAUUCAGUGUAGUGGGCGCACUUGAAUUCCACGUCGCAAAUUUGGCAGCCAGGGUGAGUCAGACGGAUACCGGAAACACUUGAAAGCGUCGUGAGGUCCAUCAACGUCUUCACGACACCCAUUCACAGUGACCAGGACGCUUUUGCUCGUGGCCCGUCGCCGUCAUUUCCAGCUCAUUUUAUUUUCAUUUUUUUCCCUCGCCUUGAACUGCAUCGGGCCGGGUAAAUGCCGAAUAGUGCAGCCGCGGGACACGACAGGAGACAGGAGGGAGGUGCUAUAAAACCGGCGCUCGGCCGGGAUCAGGGCUUCACAGUCAUUAGUUCUAGUGGUCCACGUGCUCCGUUCCCGAAAUCAGUUCGUCGACCUCCAACUCCACUGCAUCUCCGUCAAGAUGAACAAAGUAAUUUUGGUGCUCCUCCUGGCCUGCUGGAUGGCCGUCUCCGAGGCGUUCAUCAAACUCGGGAAGCAGUUCCCGCACCACCACGGCGGCUACCACGGCGGCUACCAACCGGGGCACUACGGCGGCUACGGCCACUACCCUGGCGGCGGCUACGGUGGCCCGGCAGCGUUCGGGCGGCCGCCUUACGGGGGCAACGGCGGAGCCAACUACCCUUACUACCCCAGCCAGCAAGCGGCUAUCCACGGAGGACACGGCUUCGGAGCUUACGGAACGGGCUACGGAAGAUAAGCGGAGCCUACGGAACCCCUUACGGAAGAUAAACGGCACGUGACACACACGGAUUUCGAAGCUCUCUCUUGCGGACAUUUUAACACAAUGCACGGAAAAAAUAGGGUAGUCGACACAACCAGCGGCUGGUUAAAAACGCGCCAGCUACCGUGCGGUGGUUACGAUAACUACCGCGGUGGAGGUCACAACUAACCCGGUAGUUACAUCAACAACCAUGGAUGUAGAUGUAACUACCGGGUUAGUUGUGGCCUCCACCGCGGUAGUUAUCGUAACGAACGCACGGUAGCUGGCGCGAUUUUAACCAGUCGCUGGUUGUGUCGACUACCCUAUUUUUUCCGUGUGGAGAAUUUGCAUGCAAUUUUGUAUUUCUCCUGAAAGUGCUUAAAUACCUUUUAUGCCUUUUAGCAUAAUACAUCCAAAUGAUUCUACUAGAAAAACCGAGCAGGAGGAUAUCCUAGGUUUCUAAGUUGGACGAUUAUUAUUGGAGAAAAUAUGACAAAAUUAUCUGAUCUGCUCAAAUACAUGUGUUUGAAUGGAAAAUGCUGCCAGAUGACGUCACAAGGCGGCAUAUUAUCUCACUUUUUUAUCAAUUUUCACUACAAUUUCCCUCAUCAGAUAAAGAGUACGAAAAAUACUGCGAACUCACCUCAUUUGGCACCUUCAGAUGAAGCAAUACAAUUUCGGUGUGCAAAUGGAGAAUUUGCACGGAAAUUGUUUAUUGCUUCUGAAUCUGCAUCUGAAAGUGCACCAAGAGUUGAUUUCACAGUAGUCAUUGUGUUUUUUCUGACGAAGGAAGCAGCGUCAAAAUAGAUUUAAAAGUGAGAAAAUGCACCGCCUAGUGACGUCAUCUGGCGGCAUUUCCCAUUUAAACGUAUGUAUUUUAGCAGAUUAGAUUAUUUUAACAUAUCUUCUCCAAUUAUUGUUCAAUUCAUGAUCCGAGGGUAUCCUCGUGUUCAAUUCACUCAGUACUUUCCACUUAAACACGAAAUUCAUCAAAUUUCAGACACCUGCAAAUUCUCUAUUGAAGCGAUCACGGUCAGGAUUCCAACAUACUAUAUACCCCUAAUGAAACAGGGUAAUCAUUAACACACCACGUUCGAUGAACGGAUACAUUUAAAUCAAAAGAGCCACUAUGACAUGAGCCCUCUUAUGCAUGUAUGCUUAUGAGUCUCAGAGGUCGUAUCGCAAAAGAUACAGUUCCUUUUGAUUUAAAGACGUCCAAACUAUAUUGUAAAUGGCAAAAAUGAACGUGAAGGCAUCGUAUUCGUUAUUGCAAAAAUCUGCCCAAUAAGAGACAGAUGGAAUUUCAUGAUUUAUAUUUUGAAUUUAACACUGAUCAAAAUUAUCCCUUCAAAAUUCUGUCAUUUAACAUUCUUGCCUUUCAAAUUAAUAUGCUAAAAAUCAUGAACGUCUAAGUGUAGGUAACACGAUUUUAUUUAUUUCUGUAAAUAAAAUGUAAAUAUUCAUAAUGACGUUUCAGCUUAGUUUCAUUUCGUCCUUUUAUUUCGUUUUUGUUUUCAUCCCGUUGCUAAUUAUCGUCUAUAGCAAUGCAACAAUAUCUUGAAGCUAAAAAUUCUGAUUUACAAUUGGAGACAGAGAAGCGUAUGACUUUCUUCAAGGCCUCUUUACUUAUUUCCUCAUAGAAUUAUGUACAUAUUAGUUUGGAAAAUUUUUUUUAAAAAAUUAAGAGUUGAUCAUGAGCGAAAUUUGAUUCACACAAGGAAGACAUUUUAGUGUAUACUUAACGGGACUAAAAAGACAUAGAGAACAGAAAAUAUGAGCACAACUCAUUCGCUCCGAUAAUAUGAGUGAAAAAAAUAGCAAGUGCGGCAACUGGCAGUACAUGGUAGAUGAAGACGUAGAAUGCUUUAUGUACUACCAACGCCCUAUGAGAAAUUAUAAAAAAUCAUUUGAUUUACUCGCGCAAAAUAUGAAUUUAUUCUUAUCGUUCUUGUUUACUGAGCGGACUGCGGGUGAAACACCGAAGUCGGAAAAAAAGAUAGAAAAAACUGGAGAAUUCUUGUGUGUCACUACAAACAUGUACUGUGAAAAGUAGAUACUCUUGUCUGCGUUGAUGAUCUUCAACUGCAUACACAGCUUUUGUGCCGUGCUAAAUAACAACGGCGUAAGAACAUUCAACCAGUGUCAA
rnacentral:lncRNA from 1 species